rnacentral:lncRNA from 1 species
ACCAUUUGAUACCAUCUGUUUCUCACACACAUCCAUGAGGGAAGAAUCAUUCCCAUUUAACAGACAAUGUAACUGGGCCUGAAUAUAGCUCAGCGACUUGCCCCAGGCCCACCAGGAAGUGGAUAAAGCCAUGCUCAACCCAGCACUUCUUCUCUCUACCUUCCACCGAUCCUGCCUGCUCAUCUUCCCUCCUUGGUGAAGGCAUGUGUGCUGUGCUCUGCUUAACUAAUUUCCCUCAGAUAUUCGCAUUUCUGUCUUUACAAUUUGGCAUCCCAGUGAGGUUUCCCUUUGUAUAUUUUCCGGUUCCUAUAUUCCCAUUAUUCAGGUAUCAUCACUCAAUAACCAUUUGACAGCAGUAAUGCUUUUCACAUGGAAAGAAUUGGGUUUUUAUUGAUGGCAAAUGUUGUGAUGAACUUUCAUGCCCACUUGGAGCCGGAGCACUUUUUUAUAGAAUGAACCACAAUGAGAAGCGUUUCCAAGAAAUGUCUUUGGAGUGUGGACUGAGAUGUACGUUUAGGAACAGGUCCUGUGGCCAGAGUGGGGAGAGAGGGGGCUUCCCAUUGUCAAAAUCUCAUCAAUCAAAAUGUAUAAUAGCAACAUUAUUAAUAACCCUAUAGUUGCAUUGCACUUGGUGCUCUUCCAAGCACUUCCCUAGAAUCCUAAAAUGAAGGCAGGGCAGAUAUUAUAUCCAUGUUACAGGUUAAACAACAUUGUAACAGGACUGAUAACACCAUGAAUGAGAAGUCAUUUGAUCAAUGGCCAAGGCAAUCCCCCCAGCCUGAGCUACUUCCCAGACCAGACCACAGAAGCAAGGCCAUGCUCACCGAGGACCCCACUUGUGGACUAGACUUCUGUCCUGCUGUGGCCUCAAAAGCAAUAGCCAGGGCCCCAUGAUGAAGCUGCCAUCAGAAGCACAGGUGUGCCUGGCAAGGACACAGGAGGACCACGGCUCCAUGCCGAUGAGAAUGGCAGCUAAGUCUGAAGCUUUCUAUGAUUUAGAUUCCUGGUUGCGAGAGGGAGCCUAUAGGAAUGGCGAGAAGAGUGAGAACUUUGCAGAGGCAGCAAGCUAGGAUUUUCUCUUUGGGUCACCGCGUGUUCUUUGGGGUCAUAUAAAGUACUCUGCUCAAGAACAAAGGCCAGUGUGGCUAUGAUGAAAAUGCAUUGACAGAGGGGCUUCAAUGUCUAUGGAACAGAAACAAGAGCCCUGGACCAAGAGGAGGAAAUGUGGAUUCACCAACAUGUUGAAAAUCAUUCUAACAUCUCCAGGCCUCAGCGUGGUCAUUCACAAAUGGAAUUCAACAAUUUCUAAGGCAACUUUUCUAACAUUUUGGAGAUAAAAAAUUUAAUGUUUAGUCCCUGUAACUAGCUUUGACAAAGAGAACACAGUGGAAGUGAUCCUGCCCACCCCUUUUCCAAGGUAGACCUUAAAAGACCUGUAGCUUCCACUAUUGUGCCUCCUAGAAGCCUGUACCAUGUAAGAAUUCUAACUACCAUGGGAACAUCAUGCUGUGAGGAAGCCCAAGCUAGCCAUUUGGGAGAGAGGAAGGCCACGUAGAGAAGCACCAAGAAACUAGACAUGUUUGUGAAGCCUACUUGAACUUUCCAGCCCAACUCCAGCUGAAUGCAUCCAAGUGAAUGGCCCCAGCUGAUCCCCUGUGGAGCAGAACCACCCUGCUGACUCCUGACUGAAUCCCUGAUCCACAGAAUUUGGCUAUGGGCUCAGAUCCUCUCUUACUUCAAGGGAUCUGGGCUGGAUGCUUGGGCGCGAGAGAGAAGAAUGGCUCUCAACUGGGCGGGGAAGAGUAGCCCGCAAGGAGGCAGCGGCUCCAGGAUGGGAAGUGAGGAUGCCAAAAAAGCAUCCCUAGGAAGGUUCCUGCCUUUCCACGAGGCUAUGGGGCUUUGAAGGUGGCUAGGACAUCAUGUUAAUGAAGUCAAGACUAUGGCCCCAUCUCUAGAGGCCAAAGCUUGAAACAGCAAAUAGAAAGACCUUUCCAAGCCACUACCCUUAGCAUUGAUGGCAAGGGUCUGGGUGAGAAAAUCCCUCUUGUCCACUAAACGGAAAUCAACUUGAAGCAUGUUGCCAACAGAUAUAUCAGCUUUCUCCAGGAAGAAAUGGCACUGAUGCUCCUAGACUGGAUUUCUCAUCCUCUAAGUCAGGCCUGGCCUUGGAAGCAAAGCCCCCAGGAAUGACUGGAAGACAACACUCUGCAGACCCCUUCCACAGGGUACCCCUGCUCUCCAGGAAGGGCCUUCAGGGCAGCAUUUGGAGGUGGCAUGAGCUAGCAGCGGCGUGCAGCCUGGUCACUGUCUGAUCUGGUCAGCCCAGCCGCACAGAACACCACACAGGCUCUGGCAGCUCCCUGGGAAAGAAGAAAGCAGCAUCUUGCAUGUGUGGCUUAUUCUGAAAGGAAUAGUAUCUGAGGGAUUUGAUGGACUCUGACAGGGGGAAGAAGGUAGUGAAAAAGAUGGAACAAAGAUGCCAUUUAAAAAUACUGGCUCGUGUUCAGGAUUUCGCUAUUUUUUACUGCAAGGAACAAGUAAAAAAAAAAAUCCUCCUAUUGAUGAGUAUUUUUCUACAGUCAUUAAAAGUCAAAGGACUCAGGGCUUCCGACUUUCCCUCUUGGGAAACCUGUAAGCUCGUCUUCUGGACAGCUUAGAAAAGGGCUGGAUGGCGAAGGCGAGAGGCUUAAAGGCCCCCAGCAAGCAGCUCCGCCGAGGAACGGGUGCAGGGGACACACUGUGUUUUCAGUUCAGAUUCUGUGAUCUUUCUGCCAAACAGGGGUUUACAAAGCAAAAACCUCCAGAGAAUUCUCAUACUUUCUGGCUUAUUCUCCUGGUGUUCGUCUUAACAGGAAUCAGCUGUUUGCCUUCUCACUUAUACAGCAUGUUGCUGAGGCGAAUUUAGCAUCUGGCCUGGCUAUUAUUAAAAACAAGAACAUCCUGCUCUGUUGGGAGAACAGCACCACUGGCAAUAAAAGGACAGAGAUCAUUUGCAUUCAGGAUUCCAGAGAUGUGUUUCAGUUCAAUAUCUGCGCUCCCUCCUUCCACCCCUGCUUUCAUUUUAAGAUUUCCUGAUGCAUCCAUCACUUGCAGCGUGGUCAACUUUUUUUCUGAAACAGGCACACACAGGCAGAGCAUAUUUUUUCCUUUCACUGGGAGGCAGGAAUGACUGGAGUUGUUCAAACACCGGUCCGUUCCUGCAAUUCCUAUGAUAAAGUUGAACUACCAGAGGAAUUUUUUUUUUUUUUUUUACAACUGCGGAAAUGAAAAAGUAAACAAGACUGGGACUGCAUUGGUAUUUAGGCUCCAGCUUUUUGUUGUUGUUUUUGUCUUUCCCUUUUUUUAAGCCAUUGGGCUAGGAGCCUGAAGGGACCAUAUAAUAUGAAAAACGCUGAGAGGUUUUAUUAGCCAAUAAAAAAAAAAACUGAGUUCCUAUUAACCACUUAACUCCUUGCUGAAGUUCAAACUUGCUUUCUCCUUGGAUCCUUCUCUCCCUCUCAUGCCCACGAGGAAUGACGGUUGGUUCACCAAUCUUUCCCUGCACAACCUGAGCUCACAGUUUGUGCUCCAGAAGGUGUGGUUGAGAAUCGUAUUCAAUAAUAAUCUCUGUAUUUCUCAUCUGUGAAGCCAUAAAUAAGAUUUCUGUAAGGAGCCAAAUGUUCUACGCCCCCAAAUCUACACACACAAAGACUCUUUAAGCACUCUACUAAAAAAGAGUAAAGUCAUUGUGAUUUCUAGGAUUUUAAAUACUAAAUGAUGGUUAGGGAGAACAAAAUCAGGCUGAAGCAUUUCUGGGAUAAAUAAUGAUCCCACAAAACGCUCCUCUCAUUUGGGGGCAGAAGAAUGAAGGGAAACUCACAGAGAAACAGAAAAUGAAAUUGGUCCAACUAUUUCACUGCUGGAGAUAGAUGGAGUUAGGAUACAUAGGUGACUUGGUUUAGGAAAGAGAGGAUGUCGAAGGUGAUUUAAAUCCUAACACUGUUUUAUUAAUCGUGCCACAAUUCUACAUGUCAUGUGAUUUUGUUAUCUGCUUUUUGCUGCUUUUAAAUAAAUUUGUACUUUUCUAUCAAUCCAUCAUCCAAUUGUGUUUCGGGUGUUCUUGGCAUUCCCAUCUCUCAAAAACACCCUUAGUUUCUGCCA